rnacentral:rRNA from 1 species
GGCGAACGCUGGCGGCGUGCUCAACACAUGCAAGUCGAACGGUAAGGCCCUUCGGGGUACACGAGUGGCGAACGGGUGAGUAACACGUGGGUGAUCUGCCCUGCACUUCGGGGUAAGCCUGGGAAACUGGGUCUAAUACCGGAUAGGACCACUGCCUGCAUGGGUGGUGGUGGAAAGCUUUUGCGGUGUGGGAUGGGCCCGCGGCCUAUCAGCUUGUUGGUGGGGUGAUGGCCUACCAAGGCGACGACGGGUAGCCGGCCUGAGAGGGUGACCGGCCACACUGGGACUGAGAUACGGCCCAGACUCCUACGGGAGGCAGCAGUGGGGAAUAUUGCACAAUGGGCGCAAGCCUGAUGCAGCGACGCCGCGUGAGGGAUGACGGCCUUCGGGUUGUAAACCUCUUUCAGCACCGACGAAGCGCAAGUGACGGUAGGUGCAGAAGAAGGACCGGCCAACUACGUGCCAGCCGCCGCCGUAA